CCUACGGGAGGCAGCAGUGGGGGAUAUUGCACAAUGGGGGAAACCCUGAUGCAGCAACGCCGCGUGUGGGAAGAAGGUUUUCGGAUUGUAAGCCACUGUUCUUGGUGAAGAUAAUGACGGUAACCAAGGAGAAAGCUCGGCUAACUACGUGCCAGCAGCCGCGGGAAUACGUAGGGAGCAAGCGUUGUCCGGAUUUACUGGGUGUAAAGGGUGCGGAGGCGGUCUUGGAAGUCAGAAGUGAAAACCACAGGCUCAACCUGUGUAAUGCGUUUGAAACUGUGGGGCUUGAGUGAAGUAGAGGUAUGCGGAAUGCGCAGUGUAGCGGUGAAAUGCUUAGAUAUUGCGCAGAACUCCGAUUGCGAAGGCAGCAUACCGGCGGCGAUCUGACGCUGAGGCACGAAAGCGUGGGUAUCGAACAGGAUUAGAUACCCUUGUAGUC
rnacentral:rRNA from 1 species